AUACGGAGGAGGCUAGCGUUGUUCGGAAUUACUGGGCGUAAAGCGUACGUAGGCGGACUGAUCAGUUGGGGGUGAAAUCCCAGGGCUUAACCCUGGAACUGCCUUCAAUACUGUCAGUCUUGAGAUUGGAAGAGGUGAGUGGAAUUCCUAGUGUAGAGGUGAAAUUCAUAGAUAUUAGGAGGAACACCAGUGGCGAAGGCGGCUCACUGGUCCAAUACUGACGCUGAGGUACGAAAGCGUGGGGAGCAAACAGGAUUAGAUACCCUAGUAGUCC
rnacentral:rRNA from 1 species